rnacentral:rRNA from 1 species
CAAGAGCGUAUAUUAAAGUUGUUGCAGUUAAAAAGCUCGUAGUUGGAUUUCUGGUAUAAUGCGCCUGUCCCGGAAAUUUCUGUGUGACGGUGCGCGUUUGCCAUCCUUCUAGAAAACGUUUCUACCAUUUACUUGGCCGGACUCGCGAUCUAGAUCUUUUACUUUGAAAAAUUAGAGUGUUAAAGCAGGCAUAGCUUGAAUACAUUAGCAUGGAAUAAUAAUCUAGGACUUCGGUUCUAUUUUGUUGGUUUCUAGAAUUGAAGUAAUGAUUGAUAGGGAUAGUGGGGGUGCUAGUAUUGGCCGGCCAGAGGUGAAAUUCUUGGAUUCGGUCAAGACUAACUUAUGCGAAAGCAUUCACCAAGGAUGUCUUCUUUAAUCAAGAACGAAAGUUGGGGGAUCGAAGACGAUCAGAUACCG